GCCGGGCGUGGUGACCCAUGCCUGUAAUCCCAGCACUUUGGGAGGCCGAGGCGGGCGGAUCACCUGAGGUCGGGAGUUCCAGACCAGCCUGACCAACAUGGAGAAACCCCGUCUCUA
rnacentral:SRP_RNA from 1 species